rnacentral:rRNA from 1 species
CCUUACCAGGUCUUGACAUCCAACUAACGAGGCAGAGAUGCGUUAGGUGCCCUUCGGGGAAAGUUGAGACAGGUGGUGCAUGGUUGUCGUCAGCUCGUGUCGUGAGAUGUUGGGUUAAGUCCCGCAACGAGCGCAACCCUUGUGAUUAGUUGCUACGCAAGAGCACUCUAAUCAGACUGCCGUUGACAAAACGGAGGAAGGUGGGGACGACGUCAAAUCAUCAUGCCCUUUAUGACCUGGGCCACACACGUACUACAAUGGCCAUUAACAGAGGGAAGCAAGACCGCGAGGUGGAGCAAAACCUAAAAGAUCCCAGUUCGGAUCGCAGGCUGCAACCCGCCUGCGUGAAGUGGAAUUGCUAGUAAUCGCGGAU